UCUAACAUUUAUUUAUUGUUAAUAUUUUUUAAUAAAAUAUAAACGAACACACAUAUAGAAAAAUGAGUUUCAUUAUUAAGAGAGAGAGUGUGAGAACGAACAAACACACACAAAACAGCCACAAAAAGAGAGUUGUCUGCAGUGGUGGCUGAGUAGACGCUCUAGCGGUAGCGCUCGUGGUAGUAGUUUGCAGGAGGUCAAAGUUGACGGAGGUGGCGGUAUGGAUGCUCUAACGAUAGUGUUCGUGGUGGUGGUUUGCAAAUGUCGAUUUGAUAAUGGUUUCCUAAGGAUUUUGCAAAGGAUGAUGGAGGUGGUGAUGUGUGGCUAAUGCUCUCUCUAACUCUCUACAUUUUUAUUCAGGCUACAAGGAUGAAUUUGUGAGAUAAAUUGAGUUUCAAUUUUUCUAUUGUUUUGCAUAAAUUAUGGAGUGACAAGUGAAGACGAGACUUUCUACUUUUUGGUGGAGUGCAAAGUUGGUGAAAAUGAGACUUCUAAUUUUUGAUUAAGUGCAAAGUUGAUGAAGAUUUAAAAGGAAGGAAACAUGGAAGCUUAAAAUGUGGAGGAAUGAGGCUUGUAUUAUUUCUACCAAAAAUAUUAUUUUUAUUUGUUUGUUAGUUAUUGUUACUUUUUAUUUAUUUAUUUUUUAUAUUUUAUGAUGUAAAUUGGAUACUUUGUUAAAGCAUCAAUGAGAAUGUGAGCUCAAUUAUUGAACUA